UACGGAGGGGGCAAGCGUUGCUCGGAAUUACUGGGCGUAAAGGGCGCGUAGGCGGUUAGUUAAGUUGGGGGUGAAAGCCCGGGGCUCAACCUCGGAAUUGCCUUCAAUACUGGCUAUCUUGAGUACGGGAGAGGUGUGUGGAACUCCGAGUGUAGAGGUGAAAUUCGUAGAUAUUCGGAAGAACACCAGUGGCGAAGGCGACACACUGGCCCGUUACUGACGCUGAGGCGCGAAAGCGUGGGGAGCAAACAGG
rnacentral:rRNA from 1 species